rnacentral:rRNA from 1 species
ACGAACGCUGGCGGCACGCUUAACACAUGCAAGUCGAACGAGAGAAGAGGAGCUUGCUUUUCUGAUCUAGUGGCGGACGGGUGAGUAACACGUGAGCAAUCUGCCUUUCAGAGGGGGAUACCGAUUGGAAACGAUCGUUAAUACCGCAUAACAUAAUUGAACCGCAUGAUUUGAUUAUCAAAGAUUUAUCGCUGAAAGAUGAGCUCGCGUCUGAUUAGCUAGUUGGUAAGGUAACGGCUUACCAAGGCGACGAUCAGUAGCCGGACUGAGAGGUUGAUCGGCCACAUUGGGACUGAGACACGGCCCAGACUCCUACGGGAGGCAGCAGUGGGGAAUAUUGCACAAUGGAGGAAACUCUGAUGCAGCGAUGCCGCGUGAGGGAAGAAGGUUUUAGGAUUGUAAACCUCUGUCUUCAGGGACGAAAAAAGACGGUACCUGAGGAGGAAGCUCCGGCUAACUACGUGCCAGCAGCCGCGGUAAUACGUAGGGAGCGAGCGUUGUCCGGAAUUACUGGGUGUAAAGGGAGCGUAGACGGCGCAGCAAGUCUGAUGUGAAAGGCGGGGGCUUAACCCCCGGACUGCAUUGGAAACUGUUGAGCUUGAGUGCCGGAGGGGUAAGCGGAAUUCCUAGUGUAGCGGUGAAAUGCGUAGAUAUUAGGAGGAACAUCAGUGGCGAAGGCGGCUUACUGGGCUUUAACUGACGCUGAGGCUCGAAAGCGUGGGGAGCAAACAGGAUUAGAUACCCUGGUAGUCCACGCCGUAAACGAUGAUUACUAGGUGUGGGGGGACUGACCCCUUCCGUGCCGCAGCAAACGCAAUAAGUAAUCCACCUGGGGAGUACGACCGCAAGGUUGAAACUCAAAGGAAUUGACGGGGGCCCGCACAAGCAGUGGAGUAUGUGGAUUAAUUCGAAGCAACGCGAAGAACCUUACCAGGUCUUGACAUCGUAUGCAUAGCUCAGAGAUGAGUGAAAUCUCUUCGGAGACAUAUAGACAGGUGGUGCAUGGUUGUCGUCAGCUCGUGUCGUGAGAUGUUGGGUUAAGUCCCGCAACGAGCGCAACCCUUACUGUUAGUUGCUACGCAAGAGCACUCUAGCAGGACUGCCGUUGACAAAACGGAGGAAGGUGGGGAUGACGUCAAAUCAUCAUGCCCCUUAUGACCUGGGCCUCACACGUACUACAAUGGCUGUCAACAGAGGGAUGCAAAGCCGCGAGGUGGAGCGAACCCCUAAAAGCAGUCUUAGUUCGGAUUGUAGGCUGCAACCCGCCUACAUGAAGUCGGAAUUGCUAGUAAUCGCAGAUCAGCAUGCUGCGGUGAAUACGUUCCCGGGCCUUGUACACACCGCCCGUCACGCCAUGGGAGUCGGUAACACCCGAAGCCUGUAGUCUAACCGCAAGGAGGACGCAGUCGAAGGUGGGAUUGAUGACUGGGGUG